rnacentral:lncRNA from 1 species
CCUCUGCAGGAUAAAAGGGCACAGCAGAAGGAGAGGAAACGAGACGGAAUGAGAUAAUCUACACCACCUCCCACCACGGAGCUAAGUGGAAAGAGGUCGGGCUAAUCAACCUUCUCCUGCACAGUCGCAAACCCAGGAGAAGUCAGCUGAGUCAGAUGCAAGACGGCAGGGGCCGGUCCAGGAGCCGAGUGCACCUCUGGCCACGAGCGCAAGGGGGCGCCAUGGGCUCACAGCGCGCCCGGGCGCCGGAGGGACCGGUAGACCUCGACAGCUCUUCGCGUUCUGCGUUCCCUCUGGAAGCUCUGGGGCUUCGCGGAGCGCUGGGAGGUGAAGAAUUGGCGCCUUUCUCCUUCGCCUUGGACUCAGCAUCGGAAGCCCCCCAGAACAAGCAUGCAGAAUUCCCGCAUUCCCAUUUCAAGGACGUGCAAACAAAGGUUCAGAGAAGUCGUUCUCUUCUGGGGGGCGGGGGCAGGAGCCGCUGGUCCUGUGACUUAUUUGGACAGAAGCCGAUUGGUCUCCUGACGCCAGCAUCAGACUCUUCCUUCCCGGUCCAGUAG